GUCGGCAGCCAUGCCACCUGCUGCUCUGGCUAGGUAAUUCAUCUGAAGCUAAGCCAGUUUGGGCCUGGGCAGUACUUAGAUGGGAGACCAACUAGGAAAGCUGCUGGGAGACGUGU
rnacentral:rRNA from 1 species